ACAUACAUACAUACAUACACAGACACACAUGCACACAUGUAUGUAUAGCAGUAAGAAUAUAUUCCUGCAUAUAUAAAUAAGAGAUACGUAGGACACUUCAACAGUUGAUCCUCGAUAAUCUACCGCUAAACAACAACAAUGAGACUUUCUACUUUACAUCCUCUUUUAAGCAAAUACACAAGCGAGUAUGCAAGAACACAGGCAUAAGGUCAAUUAUCAGACAAACUCACAGCAAACCCAGGAGAGAGAGGAGAAGUCUCUAAGUCACUAAAAAGGUCGGAAAUGAUGACGAAAAAACAACUGAUUGGUUGUUUAUCCAGCAUUACAAACAAACAAUCGAUUAGUUAGCUGACCAGAUGUUUAACCAAUUGAUUAACAAUAACGAAGUGGCAUUGAACUAGUUUGUCUUUUUACUUGUGUUGGUCACUGCUUACUGCCAGUUCGAUUCCUGUGAUUGCUUUGAUGUACAGCAAACACUUACCAAAAUAAAAGAAAUUCUAGAGAAUGGAAUUGGGGAUAAACUUAAAAAGUUCUUCAAACUCAAGUUGAUCCUUUUCCCGGAAAGUGGGAAGUUUGAAAUCGAUGGAACACCGCUGGUAAUUACCUUCUUUGCAGACAACUGUGAACUGAAGAUUAUUGGAAAACGAAGUCCAUUUGAAAUGAGAUGUCCAGCUGAUGUGACUGAAAUCACUACACUAACUAGACGUCAUUGUGUAAAGUCAAGUCCGAAAAGCGCCGUGGAGUGUGCUACCAAAUUGGUACUCGAAGAAAUACAGAAGAAUAUUGAAACUGGCAAAAAUCCCCGGCGUAUAACAUAGAUUCACACACACGAAGUGUUAUAUAUAUAUAUAUAUAAUUUUUUAGAAAAACAUAAAUCCGGAGAAGAAGCACACUUUAAGAAGUAGAGCAGUCUAUAUUAAUUACGGGUGCAGGUCGGUUUAUAGGCUUAUCUUGGGUUUAUCGGGUUACCCUGGAGAUAAUUCCCAUUGAUUAUAUCCGUAUCGUUUCCCUCUCCAUACUUUAAAGAGACCAUGGGCCAACAGGUUUUAGAGUCAGAAGAUACGCUAUAAAGGUACUCUUUAUGGCAAGAAACUCAAGAUAACCCUAUAAACCGGCCUACACCAGUAAUUAAUAUAUAUAUAUAUAUAUUAUAUAUAUAUAUAUAUAUAUAUAUAUAUGUAUAUAAUAUAGUAUAUAUAUAUGUAUAUAUA